UACGUAGGGUGCGAGCGUUGUCCGGAAUUAUUGGGCGUAAAGAGCUCAUAGGCGGUGUGUCACGUCGGCCGUGAAAACCUGCAGCUUAACUGUGGGCGUGCGGUCGAUACGGGCAUCACUGGAGUUCGGCAGGGGAGACUGGAAUUCCUGGUGUAGCGGUGAAAUGCGCAGAUAUCAGGAGGAACACCGGUGGCGAAGGCGGGUCUCUGGGCCGAUACUGACGCUGAGGAGCGAAAGCGUGGGGAGCAAACAGG
rnacentral:rRNA from 1 species